rnacentral:hammerhead_ribozyme from 1 species
AUCCAGUUGACGAGUCCCAGAUAGGACAAGACACGCGUUCUGGAU